GUCAAGUACAAAGAGCAUCGGGUGGAUGCCUUGGCACUGGGAGCCGAAGAAGGACGUGAUAAGCUGCGAUAAGCUGCGGUAAGGAGCACAUAUCCGAUAUACCCGCAGAUUUCCGAAUGGGGGAACCCACAUACGGUAAUGCGUAUGUAUCAUUAAGUGAAUACAUAGCUUAAUGAAGGGAACGGGGUGAACUGAAACAUCUAAGUAGCCCUAGGAAGAGAAAGAAAAAUCGAUUUCCUGAGUAGCGGCGAGCGAAAGGGAAAGAGGCCAAACCAAAUUGUUUACAGUUUGGGGUUGUGGACCACCGACAUUGACGAAGUUAUGCGAGCCGAAUAGGGUUGGAAAGCUCAAGCAGAGAAGGUAAUACUCCUGUAGGCGAAGCAGAAAGCGCAUAGGUGGCACCAGAGUAGGACCGGACACGUGUAACCCGGUCUGAAGCAGGAGGGACCACCCUCCAAGCCUAAAUACUACCCAGUGACCGAUAGCGAAUAGUACCGUGAGGGAAAGGUGAAAAGAACCCCGGGAGGGGAGUGAAAUAGAAUCUGAAACCUGAUGCUUACAAGCAUAGGGAGCGCAAGUGACCUAGUACUUUUUGUAGAACGGGCCAACGAGUUAUGGUAUGUAGCGAGGUUAAGUUGCUGGAGCAACGGAGCCGUAGAGAAAUCGAGUCUGAAUAGGGCGAGAGUUACAUGCUGUAGACCCGAAACCGGGUGACCUAUCCAUGAGCAGGUUGAAGUAACCGUAAAAGGUUAUGGAGGACCGAACCUAUAUCUGUUGAAAAAGGUUAGGAUGACUUGUGGAUAGCGGUGAAAUUCCAAUCGAACUCGGAUAUAGCUGGUUCUCCUCGAAAUAGCUUUAGGGCUAGCCUCAAGGUAAAGAUACACGGGGGUAGAGCACUGACUGUUCGCGGGGCCUUCACCGGUUACCAACAACUAUCAAACUCCGAAUACCGUGCUAUCAUACUUGGGAGUCAGACUAUGAGAGAUAAGUUCCAUGGUCGAAAGGGAAACAGCCCAGAUCAACAGCUAAGGUCCCAAAGAGUAAGUUAAGUGGAAAAGGAUGUGGGAUUGCACAAACAGCUAGGAUGUUGGCUUAGAAGCAGCCAUACAUUUAAAGAGUGCGUAAUAGCUCACUAGUCGAGUGAUCCUGCGCCGAAGAUAAACGGGGCUCAAACUUACCACCGAAGCUUUGGAAUUAGUAUAACUAAUUGGUAGAGGAGCAUUCUAUACAGGUAGAAGGAGGCGCGUAAGCAAAUCUGGACGGUAUAGAAGAGAGAAUGUUGGCAUGAGUAGCGUAAGGCGGGUGAGAAUCCCGUCCGCCGAAAAUCUAAGGUUUCCUGAGGAAGGUUCGUCCUCUCAGGGUAAGUCGGGACCUAAGCCGAGAGCGAACGCUGUAGGCGAUGGACAACAGGUUGAUAUUCCUGUACCACCAAGGAUUGUUUGAAUGAAGUGGGGACACAGAAGGAUAGAUUGAGCACGCCGUUGGUUGAGCGUGUCCAAGCAGCAAGGCUUGAAAGUAGGCAAAUCCGCUUUCUACAAGGCUGAGCUGUGAUGGGGUGGUCGAAUGACCGGUAGCAAUCGAUUUCACGCUGUCAAGAAAAGCCGCUAAUGAGAUCCAAGGUGCCCGUACCGCAAACCGACACAGGUAGAUGAGGAGAGAAUCCUAAGGUGAGCGAGCGAACUAUUGUUAAGGAACUCGGCAAAAUAACCCCGUAACUUCGGGAGAAGGGGUGCCUGCUUCGGCAGGCCGCAGUGAAGAGGUCCAGGCAACUGUUUACCAAAAACACAGGUCUCUGCUAAAGCGAAAGCUGAUGUAUAGGGGCUGACGCCUGCCCGGUGCUGGAAGGUUAAGGGGAAGUGUUAGGGCAACCGAAGCACAGAACUUAAGCCCCAGUAAACGGCGGCCGUAACUAUAACGGUCCUAAGGUAGCGAAAUUCCUUGUCGGGUAAGUUCCGACCCGCACGAAAGGCGUAAUGAUUUG
rnacentral:rRNA from 1 species